ACAAUUUUGGAAUGAAACCUGAAUCGGCUUCGAUUUUGUCGUUCACAUGUAUACGUCAUAUUUUUACGUCACGAACACAGAAGAGAUCAGAAACUGCAGGACAAUUUUCAGAUGAAAGCAAAUGGCUAUUAUAGUACACAAGAUUAGUACUAAGUAACAAGUCUAGGACUAUGACUAUAAUUUAAAGCUCCUGGCAUUCUCCUAAAGUUCAUAAAAAGAUUGCGUCCUGUACUGAAUGUGGAUAAAAUCCAAACUUGUCUUAUGCUUUGGUUAACACAUCAGAAAGGGAGAAAUGUAUGAAAAGACUUGAAGGGAUAAAUGAAUUAAGGAAAACUAAUGAAGCACCAAAGAACAAGAAGAAUAGAAAUAUCUAAAUGUUAUCAUUUGAAAGAAUU